ACCCAGCUGGCUCAGUCGGUAGAGCAUGAGACUCUGGGUCUCAGGGUUGUGAGUUCAAGCCACACAUUGGGUG
rnacentral:tRNA from 1 species